CAAGUCGAACGGCAGCACAGCAGUAGCAAUACUGUGGGUGGCGAGUGGCGGACGGGUGAGGAAUACAUCGGAAUCUACCUUUUCGUGGGGGAUAACGUAGGGAAACUUACGCUAAUACCGCACAAGACCUUCGGGUGAAAGCCGGGGACCUUCGGGCCUGGCGCGGAUAGAUGAGCCGAUGUCGGAUUAGCUUGUUGGCGGGGUAAAAGCCCACCAAGGCGACGAUCCGUAGCUGGUCUGAGAGGAUGAUCAGCCACACUGGAACUGAGACACGGUCCAGACUCCUACGGGAGGCAGCAGUGGGGAAUAUUGGACAAUGGGCGCAAGCCUGAUCCAGCCAUACCGCGUGGGUGAAGAAGGCCUUCGGGUUGUAAAGCCCUUUUGUUGGGAAAGAAAUCCUGCCGGUUAAUAACCAGUAGGGAUGACGGUACCCAAAGAAUAAGCACCGGCUAACUUCGUGCCAGCAGCCGCGGUAAUACGAAGGGUGCAAGCGUUACUCGGAAUUACUGGGCGUAAAGCGUGCGUAGGUGGUUGUUUAAGUCUGCUGUGAAAGCCCUGGGC
rnacentral:rRNA from 1 species